AACGAACGCUGGCGGCGUGCCUAACACAUGCAAGUCGAACGCGAAAAGCAGUAAUGCUGAGUAGAGUGGCGCACGGGUGAGUAACACGUAACUGACAUGUCCUAGAGACAAGGAUAACCGUUCGAAAGGAUGGCUAAUACUUGGUAAGCCCACGGAUUAGGAUCUGAGGGAAAAGGAUUGGGAUUUUUCGAAACCAGUCGCUUUAGGAGUGGGUUGCGGCCCAUCAGCUAGUGGCGGGGUAAAAGGCCCACCCAAGGCUAAGACGGGUAGCUGGUUUGAGAGGAUGAUCAGCCACACUGGAACUGAGACACGGUCCAGACUCCUACGGGAGGCAGCAGUGGGGAAUCUUGCGCAAUGGGGGAAACCCUGACGCAGCAACGCCGCGUGGGUGAUGAAGGUCUUCGGAUCGUAAA
rnacentral:rRNA from 1 species